UUUUUUUUUUAAAUUUAAUGAUUGAAUCAUUUAUUCUUAAAUUCAUUUUGUUACCUACUAAUUUGACUACUAACUGUACGGAGAAGAUGUGCCCGAAACAUUGUGAAUCGGGCGAGACAGACCGUAUCGCAUUGUGGGGGUUCGAGGUCGUUCCCUCGUCACAUAGAGCAGACGAGAAAUAUAGAGAAUGACGAGCUUCCUGAUAGAAUCGAUAUCUAUCAGCAGACCCACCAAUGUGAUCAAGGGAGUGGAUGAUGAAGAGCCAGGAGUUUUUUCUUACGAUUCUCAGCUAAUGGAGGUGCAGAGAUAAGCUGAACAGCGAGCUAAUGAGUUGACUGCAUACGUCGAUGAGUACCAGCAGCUUCAGAUCCAAAUAAUGGAACAGAUAGCACAGAUAGAACAGAUGAUACAGUUGAUGAGGCAGCAGUAGAUCGAUCUAAGCUCAUCCGAGCAUUUUCUUUCUCCAGCCCAUUCUCCUUCUGCAGAUAUCGACACUUGACGGUCUAUUUGUGUAGUUUUUUAG